rnacentral:rRNA from 1 species
GAAUGCGAUCAUACCUGCACUAACGCACCGGACCCUAUCAGAACUCCGAAGUUAAGCGUGUUUGGGCGAGAGUAGUACUAGGAUAGGUAACCCUCUGUUAAGUCCUCGUGUUGCAUAUC